CUGACUGACCCUGGCAACGACCCUGGCGAGUAUUAAGACCACCCACCACCUGACUGACUGACCCUGGCAACGACCCCUGGCGAGUAUUAAGACCACCCACCACCACCUGACUGACUGACUGACCCUGGCAACGACCCUGGCGAGUAUUAAGACCACCCACCACCCACCUGACUGACUGACUGACCCUGGCAACGACCCUGGCGAGUAUUAAGACCACCCACCACCUGACUGACUGACUGACUGACUCUGGCAACGACCCUGGCGAGUAUUAAGACCACUCCACCACCUGACUGACCCUGGCAAGUCUUCGGGCUACCAAUCUGAUUGAUCCACCAACUCUGGGGAGCAGGGGAGGUGAGUGUGCAGCACCUCCCUACCAUUCCCAGUGACUCUGACCACCCUGGCGAGUCAGUCCCUGACUGACUGACCCUGGCAAGUCUUCGGGCUACCAACCUGACUGAUCCACCAACUCUGGGGAGCAGGGGAGGUGAAGUUGCCAGGGUCAGUCAGGUGUGCAGCACCUCCCUACCAUCAGACUGACCCUGACAACUUCAAGACCAGAUCAGGGUCUUAUCAGGUCAGGGUCUUGAAGUUUGUCAGGGUCAGACUGAUUGGUGGUCAGGGUCAGACUGGGAAUGGUAAGUAGGUGCUGCACACCUGGUGCUGACCCUGGCAACUUCAAGACCCUUGACCACCAAUCUGACUGACCCUGGCAACUUCAACUUCUGGGGAGCAGGGGAGGUGAGUGUGCAGCAGCACCUCCCUACCAUUCCCAGUCUGAUUGACCAUCAACCUGACUCUGAUUCAUCCUGGCAACUUCAAAGACCACCAAUUCUGGGGAGCAGGGGAGGUGAGUGUGCAGCACCUCCCUACCAUUCCCAGUCUGACCCUAACCAACCUGACUGACCCUGGCAACUUCAAGACCCUGACUGACCCUCGGCAACUUCAACUUCUGGGGAGCAGGGGAGGUGAGUGUGCAGCACCUCCCUACCACUCUGACCGCCAACCUGACUUAUCCUGGAAACUACAACAAGAAAUAAAAAUAAAAAAUAAAAAAUAAAAAAUAGUGGUAGGAUGGAACGGACUCAGUUCUACCAUUCGUUUCAACCAGUACUACCAUUCUUAUGUGCACACGCA